rnacentral:rRNA from 1 species
CCUACGGGAGGCAGCAGUGAGGAAUAUUGGUCAAUGGGCGAGAGCCUGAACCAGCCAAGUCGCGUGAGGGAGUACUGCCCUAUGGGUUGUAAACCUCUUUUGUCGGGGAGCAAAAGCCGGACGUGUCCGGCUGUGAGAGUACCCGAAGAAAAAGCAUCGGCUAACUCCGUGCCAGCAGCCGCGGUACUACGGAGGAUGCGAGCGUUAUCCGGAUUUAUUGGGGUUAAAGGGUGCGCAGGCGGAUUUUUAAGUCAGCGGUCAAAUCGUGGGGCUCAACCCCAUCCAGCCGGUGAAACUGGUGAUCUAGAGUGUGCGAGAGGUAUGCAGAAUGCGUGGUGUAGCGGUGAAAUGCGUAGAUAUCACGCAGAACCCCGAUUGCGAAGGCAGCAUACCGGUGCACAACUGACGCUCAGGCACGAAAGCGUGGGUAUCGAACAGGAUUAGAUACCCUAGUAGUC